AGACCGCAGUCCACUCUUUCAAAUACUUGGCUAUGUUGUUAGACCGCAGUCUAUCUUUUGGUCUCCACAUAGACAAAACUUGCAUCUAAACUUUAUCCAAAACUGGGUGCCCUGUACAGAAACAAAUCCUGCCUAAGCCCAACACUAAAGAAAAAGAUUGUACAGCAAAUGCUGAUGCCAGUCAUUGAUUAUGGGGAUGUAGUAUGUGCACCUCAUGGUUGAUUAUAUAUUUCCUACCUGUUCUAUGUUAAAUUUUGUAUAUAUUGUGUAUUAAUAUUGUUUUUGUAUUUUAUUAUACCCUAUUAUAUCAAUGCAAUGUUUUGUGGACCCAGGAUAUACUUGAAAACGAGAGAAAU